GACCAGACUCCUACGGGAGGCAGCAGUGGGGAAUAUUGCACAAUGGGGGAAACCCUGAUGCAGCGACGCCGCGUGAGCGAUGAAGUAUUUCGGUAUGUAAAGCUCUCUCAGCAGGGAAGAAGAUGACGGUACCUGACUAAGAAGCCCCGGCUAACUACGUGCCAGCAGCCGCGGUAAUACGUAGGGGGCAAGCGUUAUCCGGAUUUACUGGGUGUAAAGGGAGCGUAGACGGCGAUGCAAGCCAGAUGUGAAAGCCCGGGGCUCAACCCCGGGACUGCAUUUGGAACUGUGUGGCUGGAGUGUCGGAGAGGCAGGCGGAAUUCCUAGUGUAGCGGUGAAAUGCGUAGAUAUUAGGAGGAACACCAGUGGCGAAGGCGGCCUGCUGGACGAUGACUGACGUUGAGGCUCGAAAGCGUGGGGAGCAAACAGGAUUAGAUACCCGAGUAA
rnacentral:rRNA from 1 species